GGGCUGGUAGUUUAAUGGUAAAAUCAGUAUCUUGCACAUACUCUUCCCGGGUUCGAUUCCCGGUCAGUCCA